rnacentral:rRNA from 1 species
CUUUCGGGUUGCAAACCCCUUUCAGUUGGGACGAAGCUCCGCCGAUGAAUAGUCGGUUGGAGUGACGGUACCUUCACAAGAAGCACCGGCUAACUACGUGC